GAUAGGUCUCUGUCGCUACUGUGAUUGGACACUGACAGAGAGUCAACUAGCCUUGUUCCUGCGGUUCUUCGCGCGCAGAACCGGGACGGUCCGAGCCACGAGGGGGGAGGCUCGGACCGUCCGCC
rnacentral:ncRNA from 1 species